AAACGAAGAACAAAGGAGAAACAGAAGUGAAAGAGGAGGAGGAGCCAAGCCGCAAUGUUUAGGAUGUACCGGUGUCCCAAGCUGGUGGAUGUCCCGGUGGUGGUGGAGCUGCCCUUUGUCAUGUACAAAAUGGCACCUUUCACCUUAAAAGGCCACGAUUCGAGUCCCGCCCAGCUGAUGCAAACUUCCAAGCCCUGCCCAUCCUGCAGCCCCCGCGAGUGAUCCUGUACGCCCUGCCGCUGCUGCCGCUCCUGCUGGUGGUGACCCUGACAAUGAGAGUCAACCUGUGCUCUGUUCUCAGGGACUUUUACCAUUAUCGUGUGCUGUGAGAGGAGUAGAGCACUGUCUGGCUGUCCCCCUACCCCCACCGCCCGCUCUCUCUCUCUCUCUCUCUCUCUGUCUUGUAUCAUAUUGCACCUUUUUGUGUGUUAAAUAGUUUAAAUAAAGGAAAAUAUAAGGAAAAUGUUGACUAAUUAUUACUAUUAUUAUUAUUAUUAUAAUUAUUAUAAUUAUUAUAAUUAUUAUUAUUAUCGUUAUUAUUGUUGUUGUUGUUGUUGUUGUUGUUGUUGUUGUUGUUUUGACGUGUACAAGAUGGUAUAUAAAUAAUUUGCCUGUAUGUUGUGUUACUACUUAUGAAUGUGUGUGUGUGUGUGUGUGUGUGUGUGUGUGUGUGUGUGUGUGUGUGUGUGACCAGCUGAUUUGAAUAGGAAAAAUGCAAAUAAUUAUUAAAAAAAAUGAGGACUAAUAGUAAUAAUGAAGCUUGUGAUUUGUGAACUGAAUAAAUACUCUAAUAAAAAUGA